CCUACGGGUGGCUGCAGUGAGGAAUAUUGGUCAAUGGACGAGAGUCUGAACCAGCCAAGUAGCGUGAAGGAUGACUGCCCUAUGGGUUGUAAACUUCUUUUAUAAGGGAAUAAAACGAGGCACGUGUGCCUUUUUGCAUGUACUUUAUGAAUAAGGAUCGGCUAACUCCGUGCCAGCAGCCGCGGUAAUACGGAGGAUCCGAGCGUUAUCCGGAUUUAUUGGGUUUAAAGGGAGCGUAGAUGGUUUGUUAAGUCAGUUGUGAAAGUUUGCGGCUCAACCGUAAAAUUGCAUUUGAUACUGGCAGUCUAGAGUAUAGUUGCGGUAGGCGGAAUGCGUGGUGUAGCGGUGAAAUGCAUAGAUAUCACAAAGAACACCGAUUGCGAAGGCAGCUUACUAAACUAUGACUGACAUUGAUGCUCGAAAGUGUGGGUAGCAAACAGGAUUAGAUACCCGUGUAGUC
rnacentral:rRNA from 1 species